GGUUGGCAGGGUUUGUGCAUGCAGGACACGGAGGGACCUGGCAGGUCCUCUGGCUUGUGGUGACAUGGAGUUUCAGGUCCUGGGACAGUGGCAGUUUCAUUAAGGAACACUGGCAGGGAUGCUCAGUUGCACUCUAAGCAGCUUCCGUAAGCUCAGCCACCUGUGACAUCUCUAUACACCAAAGGUGUUUCUCAGAGGAGCUGGGAAGCGCUGCAGGAGUCUGGAACUGCAGGUCCUGUGGGUGCCAAGGAGGUUCCUUGGAGAGCUGGAGGUUGAAGAGGAGCUGA
rnacentral:lncRNA from 1 species